UAGGGAAUCUUCCGCAAUGGACGCAAGUCUGACGGAGCAACGCCGCGUGAGUGAAGAAGGGUUUCGGCUCGUAAAACUCUGUUGUUAAGGAAGAAUGACAGGCAGAGUAACUGCUGCCUGUGUGACGGUACUUAACCAGAAAGCCACGGCUAACUACGUGCCAGCAGCCGCGGUAAUACGUAGGUGGCAAGCGUUAUCCGGAAUUAUUGGGCGUAAAGCGCGCGUAGGCGGUUUUUUAAGUCUGAUGUGAAAGCCCCCGGCUCAACCGGGGAGGGUCAUUGGAAACUGGGGAACUUGAGUGCAGAAGAGGAGAGUGGAAUUCCAUGUGUAACGGUGAAAUGCGCAGAGAUAUGGAGGAACACCAGUGGCGAAGGCGGCUCUCUGGUCUGUAACUGACGCUGAUGUGCGAAAGCGUGGGGAUCAAACAGG
rnacentral:rRNA from 1 species